ensembl:lncRNA
GUUUGAAGGAUCCAAUAGAAAGUAAUUCCUAGAAAUUAAGACCCCACCCCAAAUUUAUCUAGGGGAAGUUCUGUCCUGUGAGCACAUGGCUGCUGUUGCUACAUGAGAUUCGGGGAAGAGGAUGGCUGUCUGCUGUUCUGCUGUCAUCCUACCUCACUUGAAGAUCUGGUUCUGUUCAGAAAGUCCUUCUGGUUUUCAGCCAUUCUCCACUUAGAGUGGGGGCUUUCUUUGUGGACGUCGAAUGGGAUUUUCCAUAAGUCUAAGAAGAUUAAAAUGGUGAACGAGAAUUACUUUGGUAAGGUAAGACUUGUUUUUAGGAUAACUGAAGGUCCAGAGAAGAAUUAAAUGAACUGAGCCCAUUGGAGAGAUUGGGGAAAUAUUCCUGUAAGAGAGCCCCAAUAUCUGAAGAGUGUUUGGGCAAAGCUGAGGGGAAUGACACUCAUGGUUUGAUCCUAAGUGUGUCUCUGGAUCAGAGAGGAGGAGUUUUGACCAGCAAAGCUGGAGGUUUCCUAGAGGAGAACCAGAGAGUAUGCUGGCUGAGCCGGCAAGAAUAUAACAACUAGCAUGGCUGGCGGAGAGGCACAUGCCCUUCUUUGGGAGUUGAAGGGAUAGGAGAAAAGGAUGUGGGUGAUGUGGAAAGAUCAGUAAUCUCAAAAGCUGAGAACCAAGAAGAGAGCUCAAUGGACUAGAAAGAUGUAUUCACUAAGCAAGAGUCUUACCAUUUGUCCCAACUGUGUAACUGUAUAAACACCCAUCUUCAAAUUUCUGUGUGGUAUAGAAAGUGAUAUUUGUAUUUUGGCCUCACAGUGCACCCUAUUGGAAAAAGAAGUAAUGUUGGAGAUGAGAUAGCAAAGAAAGUUUCCUAAUAUCAGUAGAGUGAAUGAUGCUUUACAAAAUUUUACUAACAGCAUUAUGCAUGCAACAUAUUCUUUUCAUUUUCAAAAGAACUCUGUGCAGGAAAUAAUAUUAUUCUUAUUUUACAAAUAUGAAGAGAGAAGGGUUUAAUAAUUUGUAGCCAAGCUGAUCAGUCAGGUUCAAGUCUGGUCUGAGCCCCAGACCCUCAUUUUCCACCUUGCUAAACCCAUAAGCACCUAAACUUGCAAAUAGAGAGUUAAAUCUAGGUGGGUAAAAGUAGAUCACUCAAGUGUGAAGAAUCACCUGUUUGGACUCUUUUUCACUAGAAAGUCUGAUGUUUUGGUAUAUUGCCUAAUUUCCAGAGUCCAUAAAGCAGAAGAAUUCCAUUCUUCCUAUGAGAAAAUUACAUAUAAUAUUUUAAAGGCAGCAUUAUUACAUCUGUGGUACCAAAGGAAUCAGAUAUACUUAGUCACAUGAGGAGGAUAUAUGGUGUCCACCAAUAUCUUGGACACAUUGGUCUGAGAGGUUGAGGAAAUUGGAUAUUACUAAAUGUGAUUUGGAGGUGUACAAAGACAGUCUUCAGGGAGGAAAUCAAUAGCAGGCUCAUAUCAUGUCUACUUUUUCUUUUUGCAUUAGAGCACAGAAGUUAAUAAUCAAGAGAAAUUACUUAUUUCCAAGGAGAAGGGGACAAAAAAACCCAAUUACACUAAAUCAGAAGUAUCAUUCUGACAGGAGUAAAAGCUGAUGAAAUCAUGAGUGAUUUAUUUAAAGUUCCAACAAAUAAUUUUAAGAGCAUUUCUAUUCACUGAUUUAGUCAUUCAGCCAUUCACUAUUCUUUCUUUCCUUCCAAUGCCAGGCACUGGUGUGAGAGAAAUGAAAAUGAGUAGAACCUGGUCCUUCCUCACAGAAAUUACAGUGCUGAAGCAAGUAUGAAGGAGAUGCACGAUCAAGCCACAGCUGGGUUUAAGAGGUAAGUCAUCUAUUAAAUGCAAAAGGAAAGAUCACGAGCAGGAAAUGCUGUUACUUUACUAAAGUUUAAUUUCCUCUUCUAAUUGUUAGGAUCCCAAGACUUCCUUAGUUUUGCUAAGCCUCAAUGCUUGCUUUGUGUUAUAGGUCUGAUUUGAAAAAGAAAGGACAUGUUGAGAAUCAAAUGUUUGGAAGUAAAAAAUGAACGACUCUAAGAAAGUUCUGGAAUUUUUUGGGGGAGGGGGUGGUUGGUACCGAGGAUCAAACUUGGGACCUUGCACUUGCGAGGCAGGCGGCAGAACCACUGAGCUAAAUCCCUGGCCCAAGUUCUGGAGUUUUGAUUACUGUCUCCUUAGUAACUCAUACUCAUACUCACCUGCCAUCUCAUGCUCUUCUUCCCUUGAAAAUUGCAAUGUCCCAUUAAUUUACUCAUUUGUUAAUUAGACAUACAUUAAACACCUACAGCGGGCUAAAUAUUGAGGGUAUGUAGGUGAUCAAAUGCCAUCACUGGUCUGUGAAAAGGCAACACUCAAUCUCUGUAAAAGGCAAUAAUGUGUAGGACACAUAUGGGAAGCACAGCGGAGGAACUAAUCUGCCCAAGAAAGGUAUCAUAGUAGAAGACACCCUUGAGCUUGGUCCUGAAAGAUGGGCAGGAGUUUUCCAAUGAAGAUGGUGGUAGAGAGCUUUCCAAAGAAGGCAAAGAGCCUGAGCUAAGUCACAAAGGGGCAGAAUUACAUGGCCUAUUACAGAAAGGGGACCCAUGUGAGAUGAGGAUAGAGGGGGAGGAGAUGAGCUGGAAAGGCAAUUUGAACUGCGAUUCAGAAAAGAGGUUAAACUACCUUUCAACUACAUGUUGUCCUUCAUUGUAUUGAGAACCUUAGGCCCUUCCAGCCCAGAGCCUCAGAGAUAAUGGAGUCAUCUCACCGGCCCAGCUUAGCUUCUACUUGUGGUCUCCUUGCCCUGUCAUUCCUAUGACAAGGUUUAGAAGCAGACAAAGUGCUUAUGGACUGCCACUCUGCCCUUGCUUUUUCCCCUCUUGGGAGGAAGAGUGGUCUCUAUCUCUAGUGUCCUUUCCAGUUUGGUUAUUCUGUGAUCUAAUAGUAAGCCCACUAGAGACUCCCUUCCUUGGGGUUCUGCUCCAGGCUCAAAUGAAUCUGAUAAGCACAUUAUAAAACAUGGUAGCUUUACCAUGCUACUUCUUAGGACAAUAGAUUUGACAUACAGAAGGAUUCAGUGUUUUACAGAAAUUAAUUUUUGGAUCUAGCCUGUAUGUUUGUGUAUGCAGUUGUGAAGAUGUUUUGGGGAGAGGAGAGCAGGUGCUUUUUUAUCUGAAGCCAUCACUGAUUCACAUGCCUCAGAGCAUGAUGAGCUGGCCACCUCUAACCUCAACCAUCUUAUUGGCUGCUGUGGCCAUGGUCUGUCACCUAUAGCCUGUGACAGACUGUGCUUGAAGGGGGCUUCAGUGUACAAGGUUCUUAUGUUUAAGAUAUUUGUAGUCUUUAUAUGUCUAUGGUAGUAAAUUACAGUAACAAAACAACAAGAAAAACAACAGAUUUUAUUCCUAAAGUGCCACUAUUUCUUGAAGUAUUCAUAGCUUCCCAUCAUAUCAGUUCCCAGACUGAUAUUUAAUGGUUGCACUGAACAAAUUAAAGAGAGAAAACACGAAUAAACAGGGCUUUAAGUUAUAUGAUGGUUUUGUUUCCAGAAGUGGUAGAUAAAUUACAAACAGAAGCAUCAAUGUCAUAGUCUACAAGAUGAAUCCUACCAUUCUUGACUGACUCUAGAUAAUAAUUCACAUAGCUCAUUACAGGAGAUACAGAUUUCUAACAUAUUUAUGUCCUAGGUGAGAUUCUGGAAGAUGUUAGGAUGAAGCAAGUAUUUAAUUGGUAUGGCAAGGGGACUGUAAGUUUCUUAGUGUAGGCAAAAACCUGCAUUAUGGGACUUAAAAAAGAGCUAUUUGCCUUGUAGUGUGUAGAGUCUGAACUGUUCAUGAUCUCUGGUGGCAGUGCUGGGAGGCAGAAGAGAUGAGACUAAUAAGCUCUGAUCUUGCAGAUGCAGAUGCUGUGCCAAGAACUGAUGAGAAAGCCUUUUCCAAUAGGGAACCAGGACUGGCACUCAAAUUAAAAUGAAAUUAGCCCUUCUGUAAGAUGUUCCCACAGGACUGGCCACCUUUGUGCCACAGAGGGCUGAGGAGACAUGAUUUCUCAGCACAAGGUGGAAGGAAUGUA